AUCCGGGGUCCCGCUGCCUCCCGCGCAGGGCACGCUCCGGAUCCCGCUCGCUGCGCUCGCCACCCAUCGCGGUGACAGCCAGUGCCGCGGGACGCGUGCGCACCACCCGCCCCCUAGCUGUAACUGUGUCCUAUUGCGGCGGGCCGGCUACGUCUCCUGCGCGGGUCUGCUUUCGCUCUGGUUAACUUUCGGGUCCCGGUCUCCUCCGUCUAAGUCUGACGCCCCUUAGCGAGGUCCCGCUCCGAAUCCAGCUGUAAAAAGAAGAAAAAAAGGGAGAUCAGCAAGGCCUGCCUUGGGCCGGCCCGCCAAUCAGGAUGCGCGCGGGCGUUUUGAACGCUAGCGGUACGCGCUCCUCCGGUGCGAACAGCGCGCUGACAAGAGCCGCUGCGUGUACAGCUGACCAGGGACUGCACGCCGCUGCGGACCGGCGACAAGACAGGCCGAGAAGCGAGAAGCUCAAGUCUUGGACACUCCUUGGCCUCCCGUGAACAGGCUAGAGUUCAGGAUGACCACUGGAUCACCAGGUGGUGAUGCCUCUUUCUGUUGUCAAAGAACCAGAGAGAGACAACUGAAAGAUUUUUGCUCUUGCAAAACCUGCCUCCCGUCGGGCCCGCACACAUCCAGCUCCAGAGGGUUGCCCAGUUACAGCUCUCAGCCGCGGAGGGCACCGCGCUCGUGCGCCCUCUGCCGGUAAGGCCUGGGGACCCCGCUACCUGGAU